UAAGGUGGGACAGUUUGAUACUAAAGU
rnacentral:piRNA from 1 species